rnacentral:rRNA from 1 species
UACAGAGGGUGCAAGCGUUGCUCGGAUUUACUGGGCGUAAAGCGUACGCAGACGGUGAGAAAGGUCGGAUGUGGAAAGCCCCGGGCUCAACCCGGGAACUGCAUCCGAAACCAUCUCGCUAGAGUAUGGGAGAGGGAAGCAGAAUUCCUGGUGUAGAGGUGAAAUUCGUAGAUAUCAGGAGGAAUACCUGCGGCGAAGGCGGCUUCCUGGCCCUUAUGA